GAUGAAUGCUGGCGGCGUGCUUAACACAUGCAAGUCGAACGGUAACAGGCCGCAAGGUGCUGACGAGUGGCGAACGGGUGAGUAAUGCAUCGGAACGUGCCCAGUCGUGGGGGAUAACGCAGCGAAAGCUGCGCUAAUACCGCAUACGAUCUAUGGAUGAAAGCGGGGGACCGUAAGGCCUCGCGCGAUUGGAGCGGCCGAUGUCAGAUUAGGUAGUUGGUGGGGUAAAGGCUCACCAAGCCGACGAUCUGUAGCUGGUCUGAGAGGACGACCAGCCACACUGGGACUGAGACACGGCCCAGACUCCUACGGGAGGCAGCAGUGGGGAAUUUUGGACAAUGGGCGCAAGCCUGAUCCAGCAAUGCCGCGUGCAGGAAGAAGGCCUUCGGGUUGUAAACUGCUUUUGUACGGAACGAAAAGGCUCUGGUUAAUACCUGGGGCUCAUGACGGUACCGUAAGAAUAAGCACCGGCUAACUACGUGCCAGCAGCCGCAGUAA
rnacentral:rRNA from 1 species